rnacentral:rRNA from 1 species
UACGUAGGGUGCGAGCGUUGUCCGGAAUUAUUGGGCGUAAAGGGCUCGUAGGCGGUCUGUCGCGUCGGGAGUGAAAACUCAGGGCUUAACCCUGAGCCUGCUUCCGAUACGGGCAGACUAGAGGUAUGCAGGGGAGAACGGAAUUCCUGGUGUAGCGGUGGAAUGCGCAGAUAUCAGGAGGAACACCGGUGGCGAAGGCGCACAUCUGGCCCGAUACUGACGCUGAGGCGCGAAAGCUAGGGGAGCAAACGGG